rnacentral:rRNA from 1 species
UACGAAGGGUGCAAGCGUUACCCGGAAUUACUGGGCGUAAAGCGUGCGUAGGCGGUUUGUUAAGUCCGUUGUGAAAGCCCUGGGCUCAACCUGGGAAUUGCAGUGGAUACUGGCGAGCCAGAGUGCGGUAGAGGAUGGUGGAAUUCCCGGUGUAGCGGUGAAAUGCGUAGAGAUCGGGAGGAACACCCGUGGCGAAGGCGGCCAUCUGGACCAGCACUGACGCUGAGGCACGAAAGCGUGGGGAGCAAACAGG